AUUGAACGCUGGCGGCAUGCCUAACACAUGCAAGUCGAACGGAGGUAGCAAUACCUUAGUGGCGGACGGGUGAGUAACACAUAGGAAUCUGCCUUACAGAGGGGGAUAGCCCGAAGAAAUUCGGAUUAAUACCGCAUAUAAUCUAAGGAUGAAAGGUGGCGCAAGCUAUCGCUGUAAGAUGAGCCUAUGUCCGAUUAGCUAGUUGGUAGGGUAAAGGCCUACCAAGGCGACGAUCGGUAACUGGUCUGAGAGGACGACCAGUCACACUGGGACUGAGACACGGCCCAGACUCCUACGGGAGGCAGCAGUGGGGAAUAUUGGACAAUGGGGGAAACCCUGAUCCAGCAAUGCCGCGUGGGUGAAGAAGGCCUGCGGGUUGUAAAGCCCUUUCGGUGGGGAAGAAAUCUUGGUGGUAAAUAAUCAUCAAGUCUGACGUUACCCAAGGAAGAAGCACCGGCUAACUCUGUG
rnacentral:rRNA from 1 species